AAGAUCUAUUUGCAAACUAAAAGCAAUAUAUUCGUCGCCCUUUCUGCGUGGCGUCCGACCCCCAUCGUCACUACCCACAAGCAAACAGAAAAAAAAAAGAAGAAGAAAAAAAGCCUAAAAGAUCCCAUAAAAUGAAAAUUUAUAUGAACUAGUAACUGUUACCGCUAUGAAUUGUCUUCGUUAAUUUGAGUUGCUUUUGAGACUCCACCAAUCAACAGAGCUCAGCAAACCUAAAGAAAACAAUUCCCUUUGACUGCGUUUCAGUAUUUCUCUCUCAGUAUUUCUGUAAUUUCCUUGUUAAAAAGCAACAAUAUUUUGGAUAAGCUGGAGAAAGUAACAAGCAAAAACUGAUUACGGACAGUGAUGCAUGAUGAGAAGAGCUAUGGCGAGAAGGUCUGAUGCUUGGCUCGAGUUGAGCACACUGAAGUGCCAAAUCCACUAUUUUCAGGGCCUUCCGUUGUUCUUCUACAUCCCAGAGAGUAAUUUCUUCAUCAAGAAAACAAAGGAAAUUGUUGCUUCUCUGCAAGUGCUUCCUCACCCAGAAAACAAUGUCUAAUCCUUCUUCAAAGCUUGUGUCUACUGGCAUUUUUCUGCAGAAGAGCUCCAAUAGAAGCACUCCGUAGCUAUAGACAUCACUUUUCUCUGUCAAUUGAACUGAGUAUGCAUGCUCUGAAUAGAUGGAGGGACAAGAAGAGGAACGGGGCCAAGGAAGAAAGUAGUAAAAGUUAGUAGUUCAUCAAAGUAAACUGCCAAAUGAAAUAUACUGAAAAUUAUUACUGUAACGCAUGGCUAACCUGGAGCAAUGUAUCCUAGGGUCCCAACAAUUUUGGAGUUUGUUGAAUUUUCUUCAUCUGAUACUAUUUUGGCUAUCCCAAAGUCACCAAUCUUUGGCACCAUCUCUGAAUCCAGCAUUACAUUAUCUGAUUUGAGAUCUCUGUGAAUGAUUUGAGGCACAGAAUCGUGGUGAAGGUAUGACAGACCUUGAGCAAUACCAAGAGCAAUAAGAUGGCGGGACUCCCAGUCCAAGACUACAAGUGGUUUUCUCUGGUGAAGGAGCUCAUGAAGAGUUCCUCCAGGUAUAAAUUCUGUUAGAAUGAAGCCAUAUCCAUGUCUCAUGCAGUAUCCUCCCAAUCUUACCAAAUUGCGGUGUCUGACAGAAUUUAGGCUUCUCAUUUCAUCGCUGAAUGCUCUCUGAGUUAAGUCAACCUUCUUGACAGCCCAAAGCUUUUUGGAUUUCGCAGAUUCCAUCUUAUAAACAGUUCCAUGCUUGCCUCUUCCAAUAACAUAUUUCUCGCUCCAGUUUUCUGUUGCAUGUACAAUGUCCUCAAAAGUUAUACCAUCCGGUAGAUCUUCACUUCCUGACUGACACUUGACGAGCCGAUGCUUAUUCAGAAGGGUUGGGUGCCAAAUGCGAGUAACUAGUAAGUACAUUGCAGCAACUAUGAUUGCCAUGGAAAGAACACAUCCACUAAUUACCCCAGCCAUGGUCUUCCAUUUUUCUUGUGAUUUUUUCACUUGCUUGCAGUUGCUACCUUCAGUGUCUGAUAAGCAAAGUCCUGGAUUUCCCAGGGCAGAUCCUGGAUGUGAACUUAACAGCUUUUCCCAUGUAUCAGGUAUCUGCCCUGACAAGUUAUUAAAUGAUAUGUUGAGAAAUGAAAGGGACCUCAUCUUUUCCAUAUCUGAUGGUAUUGCACCAAACAAGUUGUUGCUUGAUAAAUCAAGGAUUUCUAAAUUGUCUAGAUUGCUCAGACACCCAGGAAUUUGACCACUAAACUUAUUCAUGCUCAGAUUCAGUGCAAAAUUAGGUUGCCUAAGUUUACUCAGACUGCAUGGAAUUUGCCCUUCAAGCAAGUUGUUCCCGAGCUGCAGAUUUACAAGCUUUUGUGAGGAGGAGAAAAUGUCUGGAAGAGCACCAGAAAGUUUGUUGUCCUGGAGUAGAAGUUUUGUCAAUGCUGAAGAUGAUGCAAUUUCUUUUGGAAUUCUUCCUGAAAGAUUGUUGUUACUGAGAUCCAACUCUUCCAGCUCUGCAGAGUAACUCAACUGAAGAGGAAUUUGUCCUGUCAGUCUGUUUGAAGAAAUUAUCAUUCUUACAAGAUUUUGCAGCUUCCCAAAUUCCGCAGGUAUGGAGCCAGAAAACAUAUUGUCUGAAAAGUCAAUUGCUGAAAGGUUGGUCCAAUAACCAAAUGAUGCUGGAAUCCUUCCUGCGAGCAUAUUUCCUCGAACAUUCAAAUUUGCAUUUUGCUAUAUUGGUUGGGAAACUUCCACUGAAACGGUUGUUUUCAAGAGUCAGGACUGCAAGCCUGUUCCCUUGACACAGUUCAGAAGGAAUCUGUCCAAUGAAGUUAUUAUAACCCAAAUCAACCUUAAUUAAGCCAGGAAAAUUAUUUUUUCCGAGAUCAGGUGGCACCUCCCCUGUAAGGUUAUUAUGAGCCAAAGAAAGAUACGCAAGUUUCGUCAUAUUUGUAAUUCCAGGUGGUAUCUCGCCGGUCAAUUGGUUAUCAUAAAGAGCUAGUUCCUGCAGUUCGCUUAUUUUUCCAAUGCAUUCUGGAAUUUGACCCUGAAUUUUAUUUUCGAAUGCAUUUAAUUUUGCUAGGUUUUGGAGGUUGCAAAGUUCUGAAGGGAUUUCCCCGCUGAUGAAGUUACUGACAAGACUUAUCUCAACAAGAGAAGUGCAGUUUCCAAAUUCUGCUGGUAAUGUACCACUAAGCAUAUUAUUAUACAGAAGAAUGUUUUUCAAAUUCUUCAGACGUCCAACUGACUUGGGAAUCUGACCACUUAAUUUGUUAACUGACAAAUCUAUGUAAUUUAUCUCGUGACAACCUCCAAUCUUUUCGGAUAUACUACCAUUAAACAUAUUCAAGGAAAGAGCUAACUCUUGUAAGCUCCCUAUCCAUAAGGUCUCAGGAAUUUCUCCUUCAAACUUGUUAUCAUCUAAAUAGAGAAAUUCAAGAUUAGAAAGGCCCCUAAAAACCUCUGGGGAAAUAACUCCUCCAAGAUUAGCAGAUGUUGCAUAGAAUGCAGUAAGGUUGUGACAAUUACCUAUAGAAAUUGGCAAAGAACCCGAGAAGCGAUUCUGAUGAAUAAGAAGCUGGGAAAGUGAGCACGAGGAUGUGAAGUCGGGGAGAGGUCCUGUUAGAUUGUUUGUGUGGAUGUAAAGUUGUGUUAAGUUUGGCAAAUCAAAUAGCUCUUUUGGAACAUUUCCACUAAGGAAAGUGUUCCACAGCCCAAGAUAUUGAAGGCUUGUCGACAGUCCUACCUCAGAAGGAAUGGUUCCAUUGAGGUGAUUGUCACCCAAAUCAAGGUAUAAAAGCUUACUUGAUUUGAAAAUCUGUGGUGGGAUGGAUCCUGAAAGCCUGUUGUCAUUGAGGAGAAUCGUGUCAAUUUGGCUGCAGUUUGCGAGCAUAGUGGGGAUGCCACCAGUGAAAUGGUUGCCACUGAGAUCAAGGGAGACCAAGCGAGUAAGACGACAAAGAUUGUGAAAGGCCUUGUCCAGAAUUCCAGAUAGAAGGAAGUCUCUGAAAUUCAAUGAUUCGACAUGAGAAGUUGCGUCUGAAUAGCAGGCAACACCUUUCCAUUGGCAGUGUGAGACAGACUGAUUCCAAGGAAGCAAUUUUUGAGAGGGCUCUGGAAGAACACUUCGAAACCCAAGAAGAUGAACAGAAUCUUGAGGCAAUGAGGCUGAAAAGACUGCAAAAAUAUUGGGAAAGAAGAGAAGGCAAUUAACCAGAAUCAAGAACAUUUCUGACCUCUUAAACAAUUGCUUGAAGAAGCUGCAUUCAGUUAGCACCUACAUGCGGUAGAGUAAGGAGCUAGUUGAAGAACUAAUUUUUUGGGGGGCUGGGACCUGAGAUUAUUGUUUAUGUUUUAAGUUGAUAACCUGUUAUGUCAGAACAUAUGUGUGGUUGCAGCUGAUGAUGCUUAGUGGGGUAGUAGGUAAUGAAAUAUUUAAGGAAACGACGAAAUAGGAGAAUAUUUUAAGUAGUGCCUAGGUUGGUUUUUGAAAACUAGUUUUGAUUAGAUUUCAAAGGUCAAUAAUUAUGAAUAUUAGGUGUUAAAUGAAGCUUUCUAUAGAAAACGAAAUAUUUAUUUCAA